CCAACGGCCCUCUUUAGGGCCACAAAUACAAAAAUCCGAAAAUGUU
rfam:Caenorhabditis remanei strain PB4641 contig19.10, whole genome shotgun sequence.